GGUCCUGACACUGAGUAAUAAUAGAUAAUGUUGACUUAGGUUCCCCGCUGGUCAGAAAUACUAUACUUCUGUGAAAGGUAACGUGAAACACUGUAUCUUAGCUGAUACCCCCAUGCAGGAGCUUAGCUUCCUCGGCUUGGUGGUUCUAUAAUCUUCACACUUGGUUGCCUCUGAGGCGCAUACUUCAGUGCUUCCCCGAAUAUGAUCUGGUGAAACUGACAGCCUCCAGUUUACCCCUGAAGGACCUUGGCUGAAGAAAGGGACUUUCGGUGACUGGCUUCAGAAACAGUUACCUGGAGACUGAAAAGAUAAACCGAACGUGUCUUGAGAGGAAUGUCGGGGCGAAGAUGAAGCUCUGAUGGUCUAAGUCUCUCCACCCGCAUCCUUGACCAUGACGUGGUUCCAAGUCUGUUAUGUCACAACACUGCUUGUGUUGUAGACUUGGGAGGGAGUCCUGGUAAUUCCUUGUUAAGGACCAGUAAGAAGCAUUCGACAUAAUUUGACAUAAUUCAGCAAGAAGCCCCAGGGAGUGGUCAGAGGAAUGGACGGUUUCAGCAGAGCCAGCUGGGGCUAAGACCGUGGUGCAUUGCUGCCUUGCUUCUGUGUCUACCUGACUUUUUGAAGACUUCGUCAACGGAAGGAGCUAUUGCAAAGCUGGCAUUGGCAAGCCACUCAACAGGAAGAAAAGUCGACAGGAAGUUGGACCAGGGAUGGGACAAGCUCCAAGGAAUAUAAAAAACGGAGAGGAAGAUGUCUAAGAAGAAUAAACUGUGUUUGCCCUCCGUGUUCACUGAGCGACGGAAGAUAUUGUUCUAUGGAUUACCCACUACUUGACUAUUCUUUAAGUCUAGCCUUUAUGAGCUCAUAAAAAAAACCAAAAAACAAAAAGGACUCUGCUUAUGUGUCUAGGAAAACCCAUAUCUUUAUAUGCUGUCAGAACUGAAUUCAACAUACUGUUUCAAUAUACAUUUAAAAACCAACAGAUAUUUUGUUGGAGAAAGCAAGCCGGACAAUCGCCCUAAACCCGCGUUUACACUUCAUCUUCGUCACACACAAACGUGGGCUAGCUGAAGUAGUUUUAGAAAGUGGAUUGCUUCCACUUGAGAGUGAUGGGAAGGGGCUGAAGUCUGCUUGAAACUGCAUCACCACUGACCGCGGUACAGUUUUACAUGACCAUCUCCAGUCUUUUCUCUGAUACACUAAAAAAGCCCAAAUUAAUUAGUCAGAAACACAACCGAGGGCUGUCAGUGAGCAGGAUGGUGGGAGGAGGAGGGAGGGAGUCCGAGCUGUAUGGCCCGCACAAACCCAGACUGGACAUUCUCACCAGAGCUCUUCUGAGAAACGUCCCACAUGCUUUGAACCAAGGAAGUGAAAAUACACUUCUGAUAAAGAGCACCUCAAUCUCGCCUUCCAGGGAGCCAAAGCUGAAGGGUUAGUAAUAGCCACAGGGUAAACAGGUAGAUAUUUUACCAUCUUCUGUCUUACAAUGGAACUUUUCAAAUGUAAAUAAUUUACAAGGAAAAGAGUGGGCCCAGUCAGAUCUGAGAUACAGAGGGCUGGAUGGGAAAACAGUGAGGCUUUGUCAGGGGACGGAGUUCGAGGACCCUGCCUGGCAUAAACUGUUUACACAUAUUCCUGUCUUCAUUGUUCCUCUCAGGCGAUGAGUAUCUCUUCCUUCCUUCCUCCCGUGCUCUUGGCCAUGAGUUAGCUUCUUUGGCCUUUGCUUCUCUCAAGAAUCUUCCCAUUUCCCCGAGCUCCUCCCUGGCACGCCCCUCUGUCUUCUCAGGGGCUUUUUGAGGAACCAUAGUUUCUGGGUGGCUUCUCCAUGUCAGCCUUGCUCAGGGAUUGACUUCGUACAUUUGUUAAUGAUUGUAUUUAGGAGCAACUCCUCCAGCGUUCCCGUUCUUUUUGAUCUGAUUUAAAUUCAGUUUCAAAACCCUGACUGGAGACGGUUUACUUUUUUCCACACAGCCGCUCUUUCUGCUGUCUCAUUUAACACAGCUGGUGUAUAAACAUUCUUAUAAACUAAGAGUGCUUAGCAUAUCAAGAUCCAUUUGCAAAAAUAAUUAUAAUAUACAAAAGAGAAGGAAGGGGGAAAAAACAGCACAAAGUACACACCCUUUACUAGAUGUUUCCUAGGACCCCUAGGGACUCGUAUUUAGAUUUAACUCUGGUGGCUGGUUUGAGCUUGGUAGAAGGACACAUUUAGAAGUCUGUCCUCAGGUCAAUGCCAGACAGGGAAACGGGUAGGAAGCCGUGUGUACAGAAGGCCAGUGAUUUUGCCUGAAGUACACCUAAUGUGGGGUAUGAUUUUGUGGUCUUGGGCUUAAGGGCAGACUCUAGGCUGCUUUUGUUCAGUUUUCUUCCCUUCCUGCCUCCCUCUUCUCUUGAGAACAGUCUCCUAAUAGAUCAUCCCAACAAGAAUUCUUAUCUCCCGGUCUGUUUCUGGGAAGCUCGCCAAGAUAUAUACCUUUAAAAUAAUGAACAAGAAAAAUCUUAGAAUUAUUUGACCACAUCUUCAAUAGAUACUAAAUGGUCAGUUUUGAGGUGGGCAUUAAAAAACAUUAAAAAAACAUUAA
rnacentral:sRNA from 1 species